rnacentral:misc_RNA from 1 species
GGGGAUAGAGAAGGAAGAGUUUACAUGAAUAGAUUGGGUCUUGAGGCCUUGUAAGUGGUCUUCAGCUUCCUGGUUGGGGGUCUAACCUUCUUGAACACCAAAGGGAAUUUGAUCUUGGAAUCAUGGAAUUGUUUGGUGCUUUCCCUUUUGCACAGCUUAGCAGGAACAGUGGCAGUUUUAAUGAUUUGGAUGCAUGGAUGUCUC